AUUGAACGCUGGCGGCAGGCCUAACACAUGCGAGUCGAGCGGAUGAAGGGAGCUUGCUCCUGGAUUCAGCGGCGGACGGGUGAGUAAUGCCUAGGAAUCUGCCUGGUAGUGGGGGAUAACGUCCGGAAACGGGCGCUAAUACCGCAUACGUCCUGAGGGAGAAAGUGGGGGAUCUUCGGACCUCACGCUAUCAGAUGAGCCUAGGUCGGAUUAGCUAGUUGGUGGGGUAAAGGCCUACCAAGGCGACGAUCCGUAACUGGUCUGAGAGGAUGAUCAGUCACACUGGAACUGAGACACGGUCCAGAUUCCUACGGGAGGCAGCAUUGGGGAAUAUUGGACAAUGGGCGAAAGCCUGAUCCAGCCAUGCCGCGUGUGUGAAGAAGGUCUUCGGAUUGUAAAGCACUUUAAGUUGGGAGGAAGGGCAGUAAGUUAAUACCUUGCUGUUUUGACGUUACCAACAGAAUAAGCACCGGCUAACUUCGUG
rnacentral:rRNA from 1 species